rnacentral:snRNA from 1 species
GUGCUUGCUUUGGCAACACACAUACUAAAACUGGAAUGACACAGAGAUCAGCAUGGACGCUGAGCAAGGAUGACACACAAAUUUGUGAAUAUUUUGAGACAGGU